AUCCUACGGGACGCAGCAGUGGGGAAUAUUGCACAAUGGGGGAAACCCUGAUGCAGCGACGCCGCGUGAAGGAAGAAGUAUUUCGGUAUGUAAACUUCUAUCAGCAGGGAAGAAAAUGACGGUACCUGACUAAGAAGCCCCGGCUAACUACGUGCCAGCAGCCGCGGUAAUACGUAGGGGGCAAGCGUUAUCCGGAUUUACUGGGUGUAAAGGGAGCGUAGGCGGCGAUGCAAGUCAGAAGUGAAAACUAUGGGCUUAACCCAUAGCCUGCUUUUGAAACUGUUUUUCUUGAGUGAAGUAGAGGG
rnacentral:rRNA from 1 species